AUGCCGUACUAGCUUGUUGCUAAGGAGGCUAAAUAACGCUCCAAACAUACGCAAAAUUUUGGUGAGGAAAAACUGGCAUGGCCAUUUUCAAAGGGGUCCCUUGACCUCUGACCUCAAGAUAUGAAGAGCGUGUUUUAGGGAAAGAG